rnacentral:rRNA from 1 species
CCUACGGGAGGCAGCAGUGGGGAAUAUUGCACAAUGGGGGAAACCCUGAUGCAGCGACGCCGCGUGAAGGAAGAAGUAUUUCGGUAUGUAAACUUCUAUCAGCAGGGAAGAAAAUGACGGUACCUGACUAAGAAGCCCCGGCCAACUACGUGCCAGCAGCCGCGGUAAUACGUAGGGGGCCAGCGUUAUCCGGAUUUACUGGGUGUAAAGGGAGCGUAGGCGGUUUAGCAAGUCAGGAGUGAAAGCCCGGGGCUCAACUCCGGGACUGCCUUUGAAACUGGUGAACUAGAGUGCAGGAGAGGUAGGUGGAAUUCCUGGUGUAGCGGUGAAAUGCGUAGAUAUUAGGAGGAACACCAGUGGCGAAGGCGGCUUACUGGACUGUAAAUGACGCUGAGGCUCGAAAGCGUGGGGAGCAAACAGGAUUAGAUACCCUUGUAGUC